rnacentral:rRNA from 1 species
UACGGGGGGAGCAAGCGUUGUUCGGAUUUACUUGGCGUAAAGGGCUCGUAGGCGGCGCAACAAGUCACUUGUGAAAUCUCCGGGCUUAACCCGGAGCGGCCAAGUGAUACUGUCGUGCUAGAGUGCGGAAGGGGCUACUGGAAUUCUCGGUGUAGCGGUGAAAUGCGUAGAUAUCGAGAGGAACACCUGCGGCGAAGGCGGGUAGCUGGGCCGACACUGACGCUGAGGCGCGAAAGCCAGGGGAGCGAACGGG